CGCCUUGCGCUAAGAAGAAGCAACUCCGUGGAGGCUAACUGGAAACUAAGGAGUGCGCCUGCGUAGUGACGUCUUGACACGUCGGCUGCGGCCUCACGCAUGCGCCUCUCCCUUCUCCUCCUCCUUCCCAGAAAGUGAGGCGGUGGAGAAAAAGGAACGUUGAGAGGGAAAGGCGGUGACGAAACGGGCGAUGAUUGGAUACGGCGCGCCGAGUUGUCAUGCAGCUCGCAGUUAGGGCACGUCUCCGCUGUAGAAUGAAUGCGGUUUAACGCCACUUUAACUGCCAGAGUUCAAUGCUAGCAAAUUAUGGAAGCUGUAGCUUUACAAGGUUUGGAGCCUUCUCUGCCCGAUUUUGGUGAUCCCAGGGUGCCAUGGGAAUUAAAGCGGUGUCAAAGUGGGUUAAUUCUACAGUGUAGAUGCAGCCAUCACAUGCCUCAUUUCUGAGCAUGAACACUAAAGAAAGCUGGGGCGCAUCUCUGUAGAAUUAAUGCUAUUUGACACCAUUUUAACUGCAGGGCUCCAUGUUAAUAAAUCAUAUAAGCUGUAGUUUUUCAAGGUUUGGAGUCUUCUGUGCCCAAUUUUGGGUAGCAUAGCAUUGAUCCCUGGCAAUUAAAGCGCUGUCAAACUGUGUCAAUUCUACAGUGUAGAUGCACCCGCCAUGUGCCUCACUUCUGUGCAUAAUUGUGAAAGCUGAAUUAUUAUUAUUAUUAUUAUUAUUAUUAUGUAUAUCCCGCCUUCUUUCUCCAUACAGAGACUCAAAGUGGCUUACAAUUAAAAGUAUUACAUUGCAACUUAAAAUAUACAAUAUACAAAUAUUGAAACAGUAUUAAACAUCAUUAAUAUUAAAAACGGUUCAAGUUAAAACCAGAAAAACUGAACACGGAAGAAAGCCAAUAAGAAGAAAAUUCAUGCCAGGAAAAUACAAUCCAAGCACUCCUGACAGAUGGCAAACCAGCUUCUGCUUAAACCCCCCAGAAAAGGAGACUCCACCAAACUUCAAAGCAGCAGCAGAUUCCUGUACUGAGCAGUUCGUAACAUCAGUAAGUUCUUCCUAAUGUUUAGGUGGAAUCUCUUUUCCUGGCAUUUGAAUCCAUUGUGUCCUAGUAACUAGAACAGAAUAAACAAACUUGCUCCUUCCUCAACAGGACAUGUUUUCAAAUAUUUAAACAUGGUUAUCAUGUCAUCUCUUACCCUUCUCUUCCCCAAGCUAAACAAACCCAGUUCCUUAAGCUACUCCCCAUAGGGCUUGGUUUCCAAACUUUUGAAUGUUUUGGUCACCCUCCUUUGGACAGCUUCUAGUUUUUUUAAAAUAUCCUUCUUGAAUUGCUUUGCCCAAAGCUAGACACAGUUAUUACUCCAGGUAAAGAGGUCUGACCAAAGCAGAACAGAGUGGGACUAUGGCUUAUUUAUUUAUUUAUUUAUUUAUUUACAGUAUUUAUAUUCCGCCCUUCUCACCCCGAAGGGGACUCAGGGUGGAUCACAUUACACAGAUAAGGCAAACAUUCAAUGCCUUAACAUAGAACAAAGACAAGACAAACGCGGGGCUCCGAGCUGGCCUCAAACUCAUGACCUCUUGGUCAGAGUGAUUUGUUGCAGCUGUGCCACAGCCCGGCUUCCCUCAAUCUGGACACGAGAUUCCUAUUGAUGCAGCCUAGAAUCUCAUCGGUUAAAUGUCUCAUUACUUAAUCAUUUUGUAAGGGUCCUUUGCUCCAUCUGUGUUGCUAUGAGCUUAGUCUUCUCUUGAAAGAAUAUGCCAACAAUACAUCUUUAUUGUUCGGAAUACAAGAGUCUUGUACUACAGCUCAUAUGUAUACCUAACAAUGUCAUACAUCACUGAGAUUCUCUGAUGCUAGCGCUUUCUCACAUACCAGAGAUCAGGGCAAUUGAUCUUUAUUGUUGGUUUAUGUUCACUUCCAGCAUCCUUUUGGGCAUGUGCUCUGUGUUAGCAUGUGUCAGUACCAGGGAGCUCAUAGUUGCAUGACAUGAAUAAUUAUGACACAUUCUCUGUCACAUCAUGAGUGAUAAGUCUCAUUGGGGAACACUGAUCUUUCCAAUGAAUCUGGUUGUUGAUAACCAAAUACAAUAAUGAUGAAGAUGGGCCUUGUGGGCCAAAGCAGCUAAGAAACAGGUAUAACCAAUUGGACCUUGCUGCCCAGAAGAUUCAAAAGCUUUACUAAUAUAAACAAAACUGACCAAAGACAUUUGCUGCCUGAGGCAACUGAUAGUAACAGGGAAUUGUUGGGUCAAUUUAAAAUUCUGUUCUUUACAGAGGAGAAUGGCUGAAUUAUGGAAUAAUAGAGCUGGAAGAGACCACAUGGGCCAUCUAGUCCAAGAAGAAGAUGUUUUUGCUGGUCUUGGUCCUCUACCAUCUUAAAUAGUUUGGCACAUUUUGUAUUACAAUAGAGUCUCACUUAUCCAACACUCGCUUAUCCAACGUUCUGGGUUAUCCAAUGCAUUUUUGUAGUCAAUCUUUUCAAUAUAUCAUGAUAUUUUGGUGCUAAAUUCGUAAAUACAGUAAUUACUAUAUAGCAUUACUGUGUAUUGAACUACUUUUUCUGUCAAAUUUGUUGUAUAACAUGAUGUUUUGGUGCUUAAUUUGUAAAAUCAUAACCUAAUUUGAUGUUUAAUAGGCUUUUCCUUAAUCCCUCCUUAUUAUCCAACAUAUUCGCUUAUCCAAUGUUCUGCGGCCCGUUUACGUUGGAUAAGUGAAACUCUACUGUAUCAGUAUGAACUUGGAUAUAGAAGCAAGCUCAGGGAAACUAGUUGAACUAGACCACUAGACUCUCUUUCUCAGAAUUGUCAACUAUGACAGUAGUUUCAGGCAGGAACCAAAGAUUAUUGUAUAAUAAGCCACUUUGGGUUCUAUAUUGGAAGGAAGUUGGGAUAUAAAUUAAAGAAAAGUUUAGAACUGAAAUGUCAAAAUCAAGGGUCCUUAAAACGUUUUAAGCUGAGGAUUGGUUCAUGGUCCCUCAGAGUGUUGUGGGCUAUUGUUUGAAAAAGAUCUGAAUGAAUUCCUAUGCACACUGUACAUAUCUUAUUUUUAGUGCAAAAACUUGAAAGGACAAUAUUUAAAACGAACAAUUUAAAGAACACUUUCAACCAAUAUAAACUUACUAGUAUUUCAAUGGGAAGUGUGGGCUUGCUCUUGACUGAUGAGAUAGUCAGGUGAAUUAGGACUGUAGUUGUGUGCCUUCAAGUCGUUUUAGACUUGGGGAGGAAUGUUGCCCUUCCCUGUAAUAUUAGUCAAAAGCAAACUAAUGCAACUUCUUCUAUAUUGUAUGUUCUUCCUCAUGAAUAGGUUUCACCAUUUUAACUCCACUCUGAUGUUGAUUGGCCAGGUGUGUCUCGUUUUCAUUGUGAAAUGUUGAGCCACCUAAUCCCCACUCCUGUCCGUAAGGUUAUGUGCUCCAAUGACAUACCUUCUUCCCUUUUGUAGGAGAAAAUGAGAAAUUCCUCUCAUCCAUAUUAGUGACACUUGCACCCUUUCUGUUAACAAGCUCAAUAGACUCAAAAUAUAUGUUUGCAUUGGAGUGAACAAUGAAAUAAAAGGCAUGCGUCAUGUGUAUUGUCUUCCGUGGAAAAUAAAAGAGGCCUUUUCAGAUAAGUUCAAUUAUUUUUGUGAAACCCAAAUACAUGAAUAGUCAUUCCUAUUCAUACACUGCCAUGGAGGGUUGAAUUAGAGUCAUGUUUGCAGAACGUUUAACACUCUCCACACGCACACUUUGAAUUAUACCUGGAGACCCUUUUCUCAUUUGAAUUUGAAAAUGGUUACUUGUAAUGAAUAUAAAGAAAGGUUAUACUCCAGGUGGACAUCCCCAUCCCACAUAGUGAUACAUGCUGCACAUCCAGAUGUUCAUUCUGAAGUCAGUUUAAGGUGCUUUGUUGUUUCCAAUUUGUAUUUGUUUUGAUGAUUUUCCUUCUGGGGACACUCAGAAAUCCCCAACCAUCAUAAUAAUUCCUAUAAUUUAAAUAGGAAUACAGCACCCCCCCCCCCCCCAAUCCAUGGAUUCACUUUUCACAGUUUCAGUUAUCCACAGAAAACUGCAGCCCAAAGAGAUUAAUUCUUCUUUGCUUUAUGUGGUUUCAGUUAUCUGCAGUCCAAAAAUAAUACUGGUAUAGGGAUUGCAGUUUCAAACAUCCAUGGGAAGUCUUGGAACAUAUCCUCUGCUGAUGAAGGGGAUAAUAUGGCAAAUAUUAUUAAUGACAAAACACACAAAAACCAGAAGAUGCUGUUGCAGUUUGCAUUUGCCCUAGAGCCCUUCCACAUUGUAAUAUAACUCAGAAUAUCAAUGCAGAUAAUCCACAAUAUCUGCUUUGAACUGGGUGUUAAUCUGAGUCCACACUGCAAUAUAAUCCAGUUCAAUGUGGAUUUUAUACAGCUGUGUGGAAGGAGCCUUAGUCUACAGGGAAGAGCAAUAUUUCACCCCUUCCUCUCUUCUCUAAUCCUCACCUUCAUGUUAAAUUAAUAGACUUGGAAAACUACUUUUGCCCUUUGAUUUCUGUUUGCAGAGACUGGAGUAAGCUGAGGACAAAUGGGGAAAGUGAUGAGAGAAGAGAAAGAAAACAGGACAUUUUAAAAACAGCAGAAAAAUGGGAUGAUGGAGGAUUAAUUGGGGUUACUCUGUCAAAUUGGAACCGUUAAGGGUUAUGUUCCUUGGGACUGAAUUCUGUAAAUCAUUUUGGAUAUUAAUCUUUAAAAAUAUGGAAACAAUUUAUAAAUGUUUUAGCAAUAAACUAAAAGAAAUGUAUGAAUCAGAUGCCUCACCAGGUUUGAGGUUCGUAUUAAUCAGGGUAGGUCAGAAUUAGCAAUGCUGAUUGAGUUACAUUGGCAGAGCACUUCAUGAGUGCUGCCUCACGGGAGCACUGUUGGACAGCUGUUCUCAUUUCUCCCGCAUUCAGGCUCACUCUCUUGCUCUGUUUUCCACUCCGCCUUGGUUCAUUUACCAGUCAAGAAUGUUCACAUACAGUCUGGACAACUAAAUUAGAGAUGUGAUCUAAAUUGCCACUGGUAAUCGGCAACGGUCUGUGCAGAUUUUCUGCAGGAGUUGCAAUUUCUAUCCCUCUGUCAUGGCCUUUGCUGUGUUCAUCGGAUUGCACUAUGUUUCCUGUGCCAGCAUCCUCUGAGUACUGGUGGAUGAUGGUUUAUCCCUGCGCCCCUUAUCAGGAUGACAGCAAAGGCAUCUAGUUUCCAUCUUUUGAACAUCCGUAGCCCAUUGAAACUGUCCAUCUGCUUUUCCAGACUUUGGUUAGGUCAUGCCUGGAUUAUUGUAAUAGCUUAUUGGUAGGUUUGCCUUCCUGCUUGUUUCUGCCUCUGUUUUAAAUCUUCCUAAAUAUAUACAGACAAUUUAGAAACAAGAUACCAGUUUCUGAAGGUUUAUUCUUUAGUUUAAUUUGUAUAUAUGGCAGAACAGGUACAUUUUUAAGUGUAAGUGCAGCAAUUUACAUACACACACGCAGGCUUUUGAUAGCACGGGACGGGUUAACAGUAACACCCCUGUGGUGUUCAUUUUGCUGUCUGUGCCCCUGUUCAGAGGAUUUCAUCCAACUUCUGUCUCUGUGAUAAUUGGAUUUUGAAAAAAUUGGCUUGUUGUGGAAACAAGGAUUGGUAAUAAAGCUUCAUUGGAGAACACACUUUCCCCAUGAUAACUCUUUCAGGAGUGAAUUUCCCUUCUAAUUGGUAGAUUUCUCUCACUUCCUAUUGUCUUACUCCUAUUCUUAACUAUUAGUCAUUUGUAAGUCAGGAGUUUGUAACUCGGGAACUGCUUGUAUGCACCUUUUCCUCCAUAGAUACUUUCAUUGCCUUCCAGUUCAGGCCAGGAUAUGUUUGAAACUUUUGGUUUUUAUAUUUAUGGCUCUGCACUCUCGUCUCUCACAGUUCCUGGUAACUUGGCUAGCAUAGUAUGCACCAUCGAUGAAUAUGAGAUACACAAGCAAAUGAUUAUUGCCUGUUCCACUGAUGUGCACAAUGCUAUCAAGUAGAGAUGUGCAUGAAAAUUUUUCCUUCGUUUCCUUCAACUGUUCAUCUACACAAAAUGAAUCAUGUGAGGAAAUGAGAGGCGACACGAAACUGAAAGCCGCACAGUCAUCGUGCUUGCUUUCAUUUAGUUUCUGCCCCGUAACAAUAAGCAGGUACUGACAGAGGGCUUAUAGCUGAUGUGUACCAAUGGGUGUUAAUAUAAUAAUGUUAUUAACAAUCAGGGCCGGCCGGAGAUAUUUUUAAAUGUUAAGCGGGGGUGCUAAAAAGCGCCCCCGCCAACCGGCCCUGGCCCUGCCCAGCGUGCCCUGGCCCCGCCUCCCACGCUGCGUGGGAGGCGGGGCCAGGGUGAAUAGUGCGGGGGCGGGGCCAGAGUUGGCCCCGCCCCCCACCCAGCGUGCCCUUUUAGGCCAGAUAGGCCUUUUUGCCCUUACUUCCUGGUCGCGGCCUCCGGCAAAAUGGCAUAUCUGUUUUCAGCGGUUUGGCGCGGGCGCGGGGAUUGAAGCCCCGCGCGGCCGCGCCAACACCGGAGGCCUCUUAUAAUCAACCGGCCCUGAUAACAAUAGUACUCUGGGGAAAAUCUAAACGUUUUAAAAGUUGGUGGGCUAAAAGGGAUCAAAUGCCCUCUGUGUGUUGCGAUUUUCACCCCUCUAGCCCAAAAACCGAGGGGGGGGAUGAGCCUCCCAUUGCCGCCAAUGGCACAAAAUAUUUCGUGUUUUUCAUUAGCCAGACGAAAAUUCGUGUUGUAUAAACGACCCAUUUUCUUUAGUGGGACAUGAAUACAAAAAUGAGAUAACACGAAUGAAACUACACAAAACGAACAGCAAUUCCACACAAAUGUGCAACUCUCCUAUCAAGACUAUGAAACGUUUGAGUCCUGACUCUGCAUCUGUGGAACAAUCUUAUUAUUAUUAACAAUCCUCCUUUGGACCUCAGGUUGUGGGAGGAUUUUUUUCAUAGGGUUUUAAAAACUUUCCUCUUUGAUUUACCAAAUUAAGCUUCUGAGUUGUGCCUGAAGUUGCUGAGAUGAGUAGUGACUGGUGGGUUGUUGUUUCAUUUGAUAUAUAUUUAUAAUGUGUUGUGUUUUGUUGUCCUGGUCUUUGAUUGAUGAUAUUCUGCCCUUUGCAGAAAAGGGUGUUAUAAAUAAACAUUUCUGAUUCUCCUGA